rnacentral:lncRNA from 1 species
GCUGGAGUUUGAUGGCCUCGACGUCUUUGAAGAAGGACUCGAGAUUAUCGCCUGAGGUUGGAGUCAUUUCGAUGACAUGAGAGGGAUUGAGCUCAUUUUCGUCGUCCGCGGAGAAUGAUGAGGUGAAUAAAUUGUUCAUUUUAGAUAAUUAUUAUAAACGGCUAGGUAAUUGAUCAGCUGUGUUUAUGUGUGUGGAUUUGUUUAUGUAGGUGUAUAUUGAAGAUGAAAUAGGAGAGAAAAUGAAGGGAAAGAAGAGGUGGUGAGAAAUAUGGAAACGCGGCAGGGGAUGAAGGA